GAUGAACGCUGGCGGCGUGCUUAACACAUGCAAGUCGAACGAUGAAGCCCAGCUUGCUGGGUGGAUUAGUGGCGAACGGGUGAGUAACACGUGAGUAAAUUGCCCUUAACUCUGGGAUAAGCCUGGGAAACUGGGUCUAAUACCGGAUAGGAGCGACUACCGAACGGUGGGUGUUGGAAAGAUUUAUCGGUUUUGGAUGGACUCGCGGCCUAUCAGCUUGUUGGUGGGGUAAUGGCUCACCAAGGCGACGACGGGUAGCCGGCCUGGGAGGGUGACCGGCCACAAGGGUACUGAGACACGGCCCAGACUGCUACGGGAGGCAGAAGGGGGGAAUAUUGCACAAUGAGCGAAAGCCUGAUGCAGCGGCGCCGCGUGAGGGAUGACGGCCUUCGGGUUGUGAACCUCUUUCAGUAGGGAAGAAGCGGAAGUGACGGUACCUGCAGAAGAAGCACCGGCUAACUACGUG
rnacentral:rRNA from 1 species